AACGAACGCUGGCGGCAGGCCUAACACAUGCAAGUCGAGCGAGGACUUCGGUUCUAGCGGCGGACGGGUGAGUAACGCGUGGGAAUGUGCCCUUCUCUACGGAAUAGCCCUGGGAAACUGGGAGUAAUACCGUAUACGCCCUAUUGGGGAAAGAUUUAUCGGAGAAGGAUCAGCCCGCGUUGGAUUAGGUAGUUGGUGGGGUAAUGGCCUACCAAGCCGACGAUCCAUAGCUGGUUUGAGAGGAUGAUCAGCCACACUGGGACUGAGACACGGCCCAGACUCCUGCGGGAGGCAGCAGUGGGGAAUCUUAGACAAUGGGGGAAACCCUGAUCGAGCCAUGCCGCGUGAGUGAUGAAGGCCUUAGGGUUGGAAAGCUCUUUCAGCUGGGAAGAUAAUGACGGUACCAGCAGAAGAAGCCCCGGCUAACUCCGUG
rnacentral:rRNA from 1 species